rnacentral:rRNA from 1 species
GAUGAACGCUGGCGGCGUGCUUAACACAUGCAAGUCGAACGGAAAGGCUCCUGCUUGCAGGGGUACUCGAGUGGCGAACGGGUGAGUAACACGUGGGUGAUCUGCCCUGCACUUCGGGAUAAGCCUGGGAAACUGGGUCUAAUACCGGAUAGGACGAUGGUUUGGAUGCCAUUGUGGAAAGUUUUUCGGUGUGGGAUGAGCUCGCGGCCUAUCAGCUUGUUGGUGGGGUAAUGGCCUACCAAGGCGUCGACGGGUAGCCGGCCUGGGAGGGUGUACGGCCACAUUGGGACUGAGAUACGGCCCAGACUCCUACGGGAGGCAGCAGUGGGGAAUAUUGCACAAUGGGCGCAAGCCUGAUGCAGCGACGCCGCGUGGGGGAUGACGGCCUUCGGGUUGUAAACUCCUUUCGUCAGGGACGAAGCGAAAGUGACGGUACCUGGAUAAGAAGCACCGGCUAACUACGUG